UAGGGAAUCUUCCACAAUGGACGCAAGUCUGAUGGAGCAACGCCGCGUGAGUGAAGAAGGUUUUCGGAUCGUAAUGCUCUGUUGUUGGUGAAGACUGAUAGAGGCAGUAACUGGUCUUUAUUUGACGGUAAUCAACCAGAAAGUCACGGCUAACUACGUGCCAGCAGCCGCGGUAAUACGUAGGUGGCAAGCGUUGUCCGGAUUUAUUGGGCGUAAAGCGAGCGCAGGCGGAGUGAUAAGUCUGAUGUGAAAGCCCACGGCGCAACCAUGGGACUGCAUCGGGAACUGUCAUGCUUGAGUGCAGAAGAGGAGAGUGGAAUUCCAUGUGUAGCGGUGGAAUGCGUAGAGAUAUGGAAGAAAACCAGUGGCGAAGGCGGCGCUCUGGUCUGCAACUGACGCUGAGGCGCGAAAGCAUGGGUAGCGAAGAAG
rnacentral:rRNA from 1 species